CGCUUGCUUUGGCAGCACUCCACUAAAGUUGGAACAAUACAGAGAAGAUUAGCACGGCCCUGCACAGGGAUGACAGGCAAAUUCGUCAAGCGUUCUAUGCUCUC